rnacentral:rRNA from 1 species
CCUACGGGUGGCAGCAGUGAGGAAUAUUGGUCAAUGGGCGAGAGCCUGAACCAGCCAAGUCGCGUUAAGGAUGCCGGCCCUACGGGUUGUAAACUUCUUUUGUCAGGGAGCAAUUGGGUCCACGCGUGGGCUUAGCGAUAGUACCUGAAGAAAAAGCAUCGGCUAACUCCGGGCCAGCAGCCGUGGAAAUACGGUGGAUGCGAGCGGUAUCCGGAUUUAUUGGGGUUAAAGGGUGCGUAGGCGGAAUAUCAAGUCAGCGGUAAAAUUGGGAGGCUCAACCUCUUCGAGCCGUUGAAACUGGUUUUCUUGAGUGAGCGAGAAGUAUGCGGAAUGCGUGGUGUAGCGGUGAAAUGCAUAGAUAUCACGCAGAACUCCGAUUGCGAAGGCAGCAUACCGGCGCUCAACUGACGCUCAUGCACGAAAGUGUGGGUAUCGAACAGGAUUAGAUACCCGUGUAGUC